rnacentral:rRNA from 1 species
GACAGAGGGUGCAAACGUUGUUCGGAAUUACUGGGCGUAAAGCGCGUGUAGGCGGCUAUGUAAGUCGGGCGUGAAAGCCCCGGGCUCAACCUGGGAAUUGCAUUCGAGACUGCAUAGCUAGGAUGCGGAAGAGGGAAGUGGAAUUUCCGGUGUAGCGGUGAAAUGCGUAGAUAUCGGAAGGAACAUCAGUGGCGAAAGCGACUUCCUGGUCCAGCAUCGACGUUCAGGCACGAAAGCGUGGGGAGCAAACAGG